rnacentral:rRNA from 1 species
AGUGAACGCUGGCGGUAGGCCUAACACAUGCAAGUCGAACGGCAGCACAGGAGAGCUUGCUCUCUGGGUGGCGAGUGGCGGACGGGUGAGGAAUACAUCGGAAUCUACUCUGUCGUGGGGGAUAACGUAGGGAAACUUACGCUAAUACCGCAUACGAACUACGGGUGAAAGCAGGGGAUCUUCGGACCUUGCGCGAUUGAAUGAGCCGAGGUCGGAUUAGCUAGUUGGCGGGGUAAAGGCCCACCAAGGCGACGAUCCGUAGCUGGUCUGAGAGGAUGAGCAGCCACACUGGAACUGAGACACGGUCCAGACUCCUACGGGAGGCAGCAGUGGGGAAUAUUGGACAAUGGGCGCAAGCCUGAUCCAGCCAUACCGCGUGGGUGAAGAAGGCCUUCGGGUUGUAAAGCCCUUUUGUUGGGAAAGAAAUCCAGCUGGCUAAUACCCGGUUGGGAUGACGGUACCCAAAGAAUAAGCACCGGCUAACUUCGUGCCAGCCGCCGCCGUAA